UGCCCAUGAACCACAUCAUGCACUGCAUACUAUUUCUUGUGGACCACACCCUUGAAUCUGUGGAUCGAGCGGUUGGUCCACCAUGCACCGAAGACUAUUUUAAAUAUUUGUUGGGGUAUUUUAGCUUGAUUUUUGCUCUAAUCUUAUGCCUGAAAAAUAAAAAAAAAUAUACAUUAAAUUGCUCAUUAAUUCUCUAUUAUUUUGGUGCU
rnacentral:lncRNA from 1 species